UACGUAGGGUGCGAGCGUUGUCCGGAAUUAUUGGGCGUAAAGAGCUCGUAGGCGGUCUGUCGCGUCGAUCGUGAAAACUCGGGGCUUAACCCCGAGCCUGCAGUGGAUACGGGCAGACUAGAGGUAGGUAGGGGAGAAUGGAAUUCCGGUGUAGCGGUGAAAUGCGCAGAUAUCAGGAGGAACACCGGUGGCGAAGGCGGUUCUCUGGGCCUGUACUGACGCUGAGGAACGAAAGCGUGGGGAGCGAACAGG
rnacentral:rRNA from 1 species